AUAGUCAGGCCGGCGCGCGGCACCCGGCCGUCCGCCGUCCAUCCCAGCCCAGCGGGCGCGCUCUCUCUCCCUGUCCCUCGCUCGUUCCACUUCCACCCCAGCGGGAGCGCGAGCGCUGCGACCAGCGUAGCGCCGCCGCAGCAACCUCCGGCGGCUGCCCCGCAAUGGAUCUGGUGGUGGUCGGCGACGGCCCUGGGAGGCCGACGCGGUGCCGAGAUCGAGGCGGCGGCGAGGCAUCUCGCGUCUUCCCCGCCUCCUCCUCCGAAGGUGCCCGACAGGUAGCCCGCGAUUCCCCUUUACUCGGAUCGAUCCGUCAAGCGAGGUUAGCUUCGGGGAAUUUUUUGUUGUUAUUUAGGGGACUGGAACUACCGCGUUGAAUCGAUUCAGUAAAUAUACCUGUCAAAAAAGGAUUCAGUGCAGAUAGCCCUUUGCUCUGCUCUGUGGAUGCUUAUGCUUAUGGUUUCAUUCAGUACUAGUACAAAAGCUUCUGUUGUUGGAUGAAUAAUCUUAACCUACCGUUGCAUUACCCCUUUAUCUGUACUUCUGUAGGCAAGCAUUACCAUUUCUACACAAAAGGUAGACAGAAACCACUGUACUUCACAAUUCAUCGUUCACGAACAUGAAGUCGACGAGUAAUUAGCAACCAAGGCGCCCGGUUAUGAUUCAACAUUACACUAUGCACACUAAGUAGCCAUCCUUUUGUCUGUCUGAACAUGAGUAGAUUGUCUUCCCUUUCAUUACACGCUCUUAACCAAAGGCACGUUUCUGUUUCUGUCUCAACUUUAGUGUUAAUAAAACAGAAGGAGCCCCCCUCAGGAAAGCAACGACAUCAUGCAGAAUGAUAUUAUCUGCCCUGUAGAGCAGACAUUGUCACAUCGUUAGCGCUAGGUGGCUCUUCAUCCGUUACCCUUACGUGGAAAUAUGCUGGAUGCUUAGGUUCAGGCAGGGGUAUACUUUCGCUGCUUAGCAUUGUAACCAUGCUUAUUGUGGUGGGUCUAUCAGCUGCAUUCUCUUGUACACACAGCAAUGCGAUGUUGAUACACCUCAUUGUGUCUGAUGCAUGUGACUCUGAAACUAUUGAUUCGUCAACGAACUCAAGCCAUCUUUCUUCUUUCCACAACUUCCAUGCCUUGAAGGAGUUUAGACACAUAUUAGAUAAAGGUCAUCAGAUAAACAGAGUAAUUUUACAUAUGGGAUACAGAAAAUACUUACAUAUCCAAGAAGGUUGAAGAAGUCCCCAUUUUUAUGGAAAGACGAGUUCCUUUUUCCAUGGAUGAUCUCGAGAAUCAGAACACCAAAGCUGAAUACAUCAGACUUGAUCGAGAAGAGGCCCUCUGAUGCAUACUCUGGAGCCAUAUACCCACUGUGAAAAUAUACAGAAAAAAAAGUAAACUUCUGUCUGGUAUUUGGUUAACUUGCAGUAGUAUGUACUUAAGGAAGAGCUUACUAUGUCCCAGCAACCCUUUUUGUGUUCCCUUCAAUAUCAUUUGAACUGAAUAUUUUUGCAAGCCCAAAAUCUGAUAUUUUAGGAUUCAUCUCACUGUCCAAAAGAAUGUUACUUGCUUUAAGAUCUCUAUGUAUGACACGUAACCGGGAGUGUUUAUGCAAAUAUAGAAGUCCUUGCGCUAUUCCUUCGAUAAUUGCUUUUCGUUUAUUCCAGUUCAGUAAAGCUCUUUUAGUUUCAUCUGCACAUUAGUUUACAAAUAUAUGUAUAUUAGAUAGAUGGGGAGGACUGGAUGGCUUUAGCAGACAGAGUUAAACCAUAUAUAAUACAUAACAGGAUAUUACGUGAACUAAUACCAAAGAUAAAGGAGUCCAAGCUUUUAUUUGGCAAAUAUUCAUAGAUCAAUAUUUUUUCCUCCCCUUGUGAGCAACAUCCCAACAGUCUAACCAGAUUUGUGUACUGGAGCUUGGCUAUGAGUUGGACUUCAUUUUUGAACUCUGUGAAACCUUGCCCAGAAUGUGAAGCAAGUCUCUUAAUUGCUAUCUCCAAACCUUCUGGAAGCUGGCCCUAUGGAGGUUCAAAUGAGAUUGAUUAGUGAUACAAUAUCAUCUUGCGAAAUAGAAGUGCUUUUACUUAUCUUCUGACUGGUAAUCCCCCAUGCUUCUGGGUAAAAUUAAAGCUACAUGUAUAAAAUCUACAUGGUCGUACAAAUUUAGCCAUCAACGCAAACUUAUUCCAUUUUGUUCUCUUUGUUUACAGGAAUAAUAAAUGUGUUCUUUUACCUUGUAUACUGGACCAAAGCCACCUUGCCCCAAUUUAUUUUCAUCUGAGAAGUUAUUUGUAGCAUUUGAUACUUCUGAAAAAUCAAAAAGCUUGAACUCCGGACUCCUUCCUAUUCCCCAGACCAGUUCUUCAUCUUCCUGUGAGCUCAGUUUACCUAAAUUCAAAAGGCAGAGUUUAUCUAAUCCUUUCAGGUAAUGCUGAUGUAAAGUAUAUAUGAAUCUGAAUAGCCUAAGAGAUUUGUGAGUACAGUUGCAUUUCCUUAACAAACCUUUUAUGUGCCUUUUGACCAGUCCAAGCCAAACGAUGAAGCAGAAAAAUGAUGCUAGUAGAAGCGCAACAGUGGUAAUGAUCAAAACCUUUAUUAUAUUCCCUAAAACAAAAGAUUUCACACAAACAUAGGUGGUUAUGUUUUAAGGAAUGUUUCAACAUAUAAAAUAGUCUUGCUUACUCUUGUGUUUAUGGCUGGGAGUCUCGUCUUUCUGCCUGGGAAGAUCAACUGGCCCUGGCGCCGGCUUGGGUGCCGGCAUGUUUAUUGUUGGAUCUACAGCACCCGACAAGGUGAUAUGCUGCAUGGGCUGACCCUCGUAGAACUGAUAUGUGCUAUACCUGAAAUUGCACCACACACCAGCAAUCCAUUCACCACGUUGCUGGUAGAAGAAACUCUUCGCCGCACUCCUGAUAUUGUCGAGGCAAUCCCAACAGUCAUUUGGCGGUAGGUCCAGGACUCCAGGUUGCACUGCGCCAGAGAGUAGAGCAGCGGGAUUGUGCUGUAGACAUCCAUGCGGCCGGUGGCGUACAUCAUCGUCGAGUUGUAGGCUGCUUGUUUGGCUGUCUCUUGAAGCAGCACCUUGAUGUUGCCAUCAAUGCUGACAUCGGUGUACUUGGCGCUCACCUCGCUGGGGAUGUUGGGAUCCAUAUUGUGUUUUGUGGUGUCCGUGAAGACCAGCAACCUGUUCAGCACAACAGUAGAGUCGUAGAUAAGAUCCUUCGCAGAGAUGUGGACGAUGCAAUCCUUGUAUAGAAUAUGCGCCUCCUUGUGGUUUGUGCACACCCGCCACACAUCCUGGAAUGCUGUGGUGAUGCAGCUGGGGCAGGCAUCGACGACGCCAUCACCGCGGCACACCACGACGCCGUAUAUGCGGUCUUGGUCAGUUCCGACGAAGCCCUUGGCGAGGUUGGUUCGUGUGGAUGAGGCACUACUGAAUAGCGCAGUAGAUAGGAGCUCAAGGUUCUCUCUGUAGGUGCUCUCGUUCAUGUGGGAGUCUCUGUAGUAGCAGAUCUGCGUCAGUGGAUUGACGGCAGCGACGAAUGGCUCGAAGCCGAGAAUAAGCAGCAAGGAGAUGAUCAUGGUUCUGGCUAACCAUAGCUUGCAGGCCGUGCAAUCAAAUUUCGUGGAAUACAAUACUGCUGCCGUCCAGGCAUCAGCCUGUGUAAUGGCUACAAGCAAUGCAAGACAAGGGGAGAGAACAAUAACAAAUCCAGUUUCAGUGUUUCCGUCAAAGGAGAAGAGGUCUUCUUGUGACCUUGAGGAGAAGAGGUCUUCUUGUGACCUUGAGGGAGGUGGGGAGUUGAAGGUGAUUACGAUCGUUCGGUAAAGCUAAUGGACUACUCCCUCCGUCUCAUAAUAUAAGAACGUUUUUGACACUAGUGUAGUGUUAAAAGCGUUCUUAUAUUUUGGGACUGAGGGAGUAUUGGUUAGAAGCUUGACUCGGAAAUGUUUCUUAUGCUGAAAUGCUUUGAAAAUGCUCUUAAGCUUGUGUGAUGCGAAA